rnacentral:rRNA from 1 species
GACAUAGGUGGCGAACGUUAUCCGGAAUUAUUGGGCGUAAAGGGUGCGUAGGCGGUUUAAUAAGUUAUUGGUGGAAAACCAGGGCUCAACCCUGUGUAAGCCAGUAAUACUAUUAGACUAGAGGGCCGGAGGGGUUAACGGAACUCUAUGUGGAGCGGUAAAAUGCACAGAUAUAUAGAAGAACAUCAAUAAAGGCGAAGGCAGUUAACUAUUCUGUUACUGACGCUGAGGCACGAAAGCGUGGGGAGCAAAACGG